UAGAAUCAAACAGCAAGAGAACCUUAGGUC
rnacentral:piRNA from 1 species